rnacentral:rRNA from 1 species
ACUCAAAGGAAUUGACGGGGACCCGCACAAGCGGUGGAGCAUGUGGUUUAAUUCGAAGCUACGCGGAGAACCUUACCAAGGCUUGACAUCUAUGGAAUCCCCCAGAAACGGGGGAGUGCCUUCGGGAGCCAUAAGACAGGUGUUGCAUGGCCGUCGUCAGCUCGUGUCGUGAGAUGUUGGGUUAAGUCCCGCAACGAGCGCAACCCUUGUCGUCUGUUGUAUUUUUCAGACGAGACUGCCCGGGCCAACCGGGAGGAAGGUGGGGAUGACGUCAGGUCAGCAUGACCCUUACGCCUUGGGCUACACACGUGCUACAAUGGCCGGUACAACGCGUUGCCAAGUCGCAAGACGGAGCUAAUCGCACCAAAACCGGUCUCAGUUCGGAUUACAGGCUGCAACUCGCCUGUAUGAAGCUGGAAUCGCUAGUAACCGUGGGUCAGCAUACCACGGUGAAUACGUUCCCGGGUCUUGUACACACCGCCCGU